UAACCUGCCCAAGAGAUCGGGAUAACACCUGGAAACAGAUGCUAAUACCGGAUAACAACAGAUGAUGCCUAUCAACUGUUUAAAAGAUGGUUCUGCUAUCACUCUUGGAUGGACCUGCGGUGCAUUAGCUAGUUGGUAGGGUAACGGCCUACCAAGGCGAUGAUGCAUAGCCGAGUUGAGAGACUGAUCGGCCACAUUGGGACUGAGACACGGCCCAAACUCCUACGGGAGUCAGCAGCA
rnacentral:rRNA from 1 species